rnacentral:lncRNA from 1 species
AAUGAAUUUACAUAUGUAUCCUUUUGAUUCAAAAUACUUCCUUGUUAAAUGUGCACUAAAAUUUUAAAGAGUUGUCUUUCAAAUGGCAAAAUUAGAAAGCAAGUAUCAAAUUUAAAAAUAAUGACUCUUAUUUGGGACAUCAAUAAAAUGAAAGCAUGACAUUAAUAAUGAGACGGAAGAAGUAUUUAUUUGUCUCAAAUCCUCUAUUGACUAGUAGUUCUCAUUACUUUGACAACUUGCGUUGAU